rnacentral:rRNA from 1 species
AUUGAACGCUGGCGGCAUGCCUUACACAUGCAAGUCGAACGGCAGCGCGGGAGCAAUCCUGGCGGCGAGUGGCGAACGGGUGAGUAAUACAUCGGAACGUGCCCAAUCGUGGGGGAUAACGCAGCGAAAGCUGUGCUAAUACCGCAUACGAUCUACGGAUGAAAGCAGGGGAUCGCAAGACCUUGCGUGAAUGGAGCGGCCGAUGGCAGAUUAGGUAGUUGGUGAGGUAAAGGCUCACCAAGCCUUCGAUCUGUAGCUGGUCUGAGAGGACGACCAGCCACACUGGGACUGAGACACGGCCCAGACUCCUACGGGAGGCAGCAGUGGGGAAUUUUGGACAAUGGGCGAAAGCCUGAUCCAGCCAUGCCGCGUGCAGGAUGAAGGCCUUCGGGUUGUAAACUGCUUUUGUACGGAACGAAACGGUCUUUUCUAAUAAAGAAGGCUAAUGACGGUACCGUAAGAAUAAGCACCGGCUAACUACGUG